rnacentral:rRNA from 1 species
UACAGAGGUGGCAAGCGGUGUUCGGAAUUACUGGGCGUAAAGGGCGCGUAGGCGGCCGACUAAGUCAGACGUGAAAUCCCCCGGCUUAACCUGGGAACUGCGUCUGAUACUGGAAGGCUUGAGGAUGGGAGAGGGAUGUAGAAUUCCAGGUGUAGCGGUGAAAUGCGUAGAUAUCUGGAGGAAUACCGGUGGCGAAGGCGGCAUCCUGGACCAUUACUGACGCUGAGGCGCGAAAGCUAGGGGAGCAAACGGG